GCAUGUGUAUCGGUUACGGAGGAAAAGAAACCAACAGGGAUUGCCCUAGUAACGGCGAGUGAAGCGGCAACAGCUCAAAUUUGAAAGCUGGCUCCGGCCCGCAUUGUAAUUUGCAGAGGAUGCUUCUGGUGAGGUGCCUUCCGAGUUCCCUGGAACGGGACGCCAUAGAGGGUGAGAGCCCCGUAUGGAUGGACACCAAACCUGUGUGAAGCUCCUUCAACGAGUCGAGUAGUUUGGGAAUGCUGCUCAAAAUGGGAGGUAAAUCUCUUCUAAAGCUAAAUACCGGCCAGAGACCGAUAGCGCACAAGUAGAGUGAUCGAAAGAUGAAAAGCACCUUGAAAAGGGGGUUAAACAGUACGUGAAAUUGUUGAAAGGGAAGCACUUGUGACCAGACUUGCGCCGGGCAGCUCAUCAGGGGUUCUCCCCUGUGCACUCUGCCCGGCUCAGGCCAGCAUCGGUUCUCGUGGGAGGAUAAGAACGGUGGGAACGUGGCCCCCCUCCGGGGGGGUGUUAUAGCCCACCGUACGAUACUCUCGUGGGGACCGAGGUUCGCGCUCCGCAAGGAUGCUGGCGUAAUGGUCAUCAGUGACCCGUCUGAAACAACGACCAAUG
rnacentral:rRNA from 1 species